rnacentral:lncRNA from 1 species
CAAAUUCAUUUAAAUACAUUAACUAGGGGGUUUCCGAAAAUUCACCGAAAACACUACCUUUGGUAACAGUAUAAUCACGGUGUGUUUUUAUUUUUAGAUAACAGUGUUUACACAAACAUUCAUUACUUCCUAGUAAGUAAAAGUUGGGUCAUGAUAGACAUUUUAUCUAGGAGAAGACAUACAUAGGAAAUGGCCAUCCUGUUCACAACCACUGAAAUCCGUAAUUAGAACACUUUUAAAAAUUGUCAGAAAAUACAACGUUUCCAAAUAUCGAGUGAUCAUAUGUAAUUAUAUAACUUUCUCUUGUUAAUGUGCAGUAAAUAUC